UUUGCUUCUAGGCUCUCUGAGCUAAGAUCAUGUGUAGUAUCUGUUCUUUACAGUGUAAUUUCUGUAACAAUCUCUAAACCGAAACCAACAAAAUUACCUGUAUUUUUCGCAUUCGAAGGGGUGAUGUGAGAUUGGUCAACUACAUCCACAGGUUGGCUUCGUAUUGUAUUACGAUGUUAUCUAAAUAUAA
rnacentral:snRNA from 1 species